rnacentral:rRNA from 1 species
UACGUAGGGUGCGAGCGUUAAUCGGAAUUACUGGGCGUAAAGCGUGCGCAGGCGGUUUUGUAAGCCAGAUGUGAAAUCCCCGGGCUUAACCUGGGAAUGGCAUUUGGGACUGCAAGGCUUGAGUGCGGCAGAGGAGACUGGAAUUCCUGGUGUAGCAGUGAAAUACGUAGAUAUCAGGUGGAACACCGGAGGCGAAGGCGGUUAACUGGCUCGACACUGACACUGAGACCCGAAAGUGCGGGGAUCAAACAGG